rnacentral:rRNA from 1 species
GACGUAGGGGGCGAGCGUUGUCCGGAAUUAUUGGGCGUAAAGAGCUCGUAGGCGGUUUGUCGCGUCUGCUGUGAAAACUCGGGGCUCAACUCCGAGCUUGCAGUGGGUACGGGCAGACUAGAGUGCGGUAGGGGAGACUGGAAUUCCUGGUGUAGCGGUGAAAUGCGCAGAUAUCAGGAGGAACACCGGUGGCGAAGGCGGGUCUCUGGGCCGAUACUGACGCUGAGGAGCGAAAGCGUGGGGAGCGAACAGG